rnacentral:rRNA from 1 species
AUUGAACGCUGGCGGCAUGCCUUACACAUGCAAGUCGAACGGUAACGGGCCUUCGGGUGCCGACGAGUGGCGAACGGGUGAGUAAUACAUCGGAACGUGCCCGAUCGUGGGGGAUAACGAGGCGAAAGCUUUGCUAAUACCGCAUACGAUCUACGGAUGAAAGCAGGGGACCGCAGGGCCUUGCGCGGACGGAGCGGCCGAUGGCAGAUUAGGUAGUUGGUGGGAUAAAAGCUUACCAAGCUGACGAUCUGUAGCUGGUCUGAGAGGAUGAUCAGCCACACUGGGACUGAGACACGGCCCAGACUCCUACGGGAGGCAGCAGUGGGGAAUUUUGGACAAUGGGCGCAAGCCUGAUCCAGCCAUGCCGCGUGCAGGAGGAAGGCCUUCGGGUUGUAAACUGCUUUUGUACGGAACGAAAAGCCUUCUUUUAAAACAGGAGGGUCAUGACGGUACCGUAAGAAUAAGCACCGGCUAACUACGUG